ACAUAAUUAGUAUAUUAAGUAUUUUAAAUUUAGAAUUUAAGGGUUUUUUUAUGUU
rnacentral:tRNA from 1 species